CUACAUGAAGCUGGAAUCGCUAGUAAUCGCGGAUCAGAAUGCCGCGGUGAAUACGUUCCCGGGUCUUGUACACACCGCCCGUCACACCAUGGGAGUCGGAAAUGCCCGAAGCCUGUGACCCAACCUACGGGAGGGAGCAGCCGAAGGCAGGUCGGAUGACUGGGGUGAAGUCGUAACAAGGUACC
rnacentral:rRNA from 1 species